rnacentral:rRNA from 1 species
CCUACGGGUUGCAGCAGUGGGGAAUAUUGCACAAUGGGCGCAAGCCUGAUGCAGCCAUGCCGCGUGUAUGAAGAAGGCCUUCGGGUUGUAAAGUACUUUCAGCGGGGAGGAAGGCGAUAAGGUUAAUAACCUUGUCGAUUGACGUUACCCGCAGAAGAAGCACCGGCUAACUCCGUGCCAGCAGCCGCGGUAAUACGGAGGGUGCAAGCGUUAAUCGGAAUUACUGGGCGUAAAGCGCACGCAGGCGGUCUGUCAAGUCGGAUGUGAAAUCCCCGGGCUCAACCUGGGAACUGCAUUCGAAACUGGCAGGCUAGAGUCUUGUAGAGGGGGGUAGAAUUCCAGGUGUAGCGGUGAAAUGCGUAGAGAUCUGGAGGAAUACCGGUGGCGAAGGCGGCCCCCUGGACAAAGGCUGACGCUCAGGUGCGAAAGCGUGGGGAGCAAACAGGAUUAGAUACCCGGGUAGUC